AGGUUUUCGGAUCGUAAAACUCUGUUGUUAGAGAAGAACAAGUACGAGAGUAACUGCUCGUACCUUGACGGUACCUAACCAGAAAGCCACGGCUAACUACGUGCCAGCAGCCGCGGUAAUACGUAGGUGGCAAGCGUUAUCCGGAAUUAUUGGGCGUAAAGCGCGCGCAGGCGGUCUCUUAAGUCUGAUGUGAAAGCCCACGGCUCAACCGUGGAGGGUCAUUGGAAACUGGGAGACUUGAGUGCAGGAGAGAAAAGUGGAAUUCCACGUGUAGCGGUGAAAUGCGUAGAGAUGUGGAGGAACACCAGUGGCGAAGGCGGCUUUUUGGCCUGUAACUGACGCUGAGGCGCGAAAGCGUGGGGAGCAAACAGGAUUAGAUACCCUGGUAGUCCACGCCGUAAACGAUGAGUGCUAGGUGUUGGGGGGUUCCACCCUCAGUGCUGAAGUUAACACAUUAAGCACUCCGCCUGGGGAGUACGACCGCAAGGUUGAAACUCAAAGGAAUUGACGGGGGCCCGCACAAGCAGUGGAGCAUGUGGUUUAAUUCGAAGCAACGCGAAGAACCUUACCAGGUCUUGACAUCCUCUGACCACUCUAGAGAUAGAGCUUUCCCCUUCGGGGGACAGAGUGACAGGUGGUGCAUGGKUGUCGUCAGCUCGUGUCGUGAGAUGUUGGGUUAAGUCCCGCAACGAGCGCAACCCUUGACCUUWGUUGCCAGCA
rnacentral:rRNA from 1 species